rnacentral:rRNA from 1 species
GACGAACCGUGCGAACGUUGUUCGGAUUCACUGGGCCUAAAGGGCGCGUAGGCGGCUUGCCAAGUCAGGGGUGAAAUCUUUCGGCUCAACCGGAAAAGUGCUUCUGAUACUGGCGGGCUGGAGGAGGGUAGGGGCAGAUGGAACUUCCGGUGGAGCGGUGAAAUGCGUAGAUAUCGGAAGGAACGCCGGUGGCGAAAGCGAUCUGCUGGACCCUUUCUGACGCUGAGGCGCGAAAGCCAGGGGAGCAAACGGG